CCUACGGGCGGCUGCAGUGGGGAAUAUUGGACAAUGGGGGGAACCCUGAUCCAGCCAUGCCGCGUGUGUGAAGAAGGCCCUCGGGUUGUAAAGCACUUUCAGUGAGGAAGAACGCCUGGUGGUUAAUACCCAUCAGGAAAGACAUCACUCACAGAAGAAGCACCGGCUAACUCCGUGCCAGCAGCCGCGGUAAUACGGAGGGUGCGAGCGUUAAUCGGAAUUACUGGGCGUAAAGCGCGCGUAGGUGGCUUGAUAAGCCGGUUGUGAAAGCCCCGGGCUCAACCUGGGAACGGCAUCCGGAACUGUCAAGCUAGAGUGCAGGAGAGGAAGGUAGAAUUCCCGGUGUAGCGGUGAAAUGCGUAGAGAUCGGGAGGAAUACCAGUGGCGAAGGCGGCCUUCUGGACUGACACUGACACUGAGGUGCGAAAGCAUGGGUAGCAAACAGGAUUAGAUACCCCAGUAGUC
rnacentral:rRNA from 1 species